AGAACGAACGCUGGCGGCAUGCCUAAUACAUGCAAGUCGAACGAACUCUUCGGAGUUAGUGGCGCACGGGUGCGUAACGCGUGGGAAUCUGCCCUUGGUUCGGAAUAACAGUUGGAAACGACUGCUAAUACCGGAUGAUGACGAAAAGUCCAAAGAUUUAUCGCCAAGGAUGAGCCCGCGUAAGGAUUAGCUAGUUGGUAGAGGUAAAGGCUCACCGAAGGCAACGUAUCCUUAGCUGGUCUGAGAGGAUGAUCAGCCAACACGUGGACUGAGACGACCGGCCAGACCUACCG
rnacentral:rRNA from 1 species